rnacentral:misc_RNA from 1 species
GAUGAAGAACGUAGCGAAAUGCGAUAAGUAAUGUGAAUUGCAGAAUUCAGUGAAUCAUCGAAUCUUUGAACGCACAUUGCGCCCCCUGGUAUUCCGGGGGGCAUGCCUGUCCGAGCGUCAUUACAACCCUCAAGCUCAGCUUGGUGUUGGGCCCCGCCGCCCCGGCGGGCCCUAAAGUCAGUGGCGGUGCCGUCCGGCUCCGAGCGUAGUAAUUCUUCUCGCUCUGGAGGUCCGGUCGUGUGCUCGCCAGCAACCCCCAAUUUUUUUCAGGUUGACCUCGGAUCAGGUAGGGAUACCCGCUGAACUUAAGCAUAUCAUAAGCGGAGGA